GUCCUUGUCGAUUAGUGGUUAGAUCAUCACGUUGUGGACCUUUGGCCCUUAUAAACCGUGAAGACGAAGGCUCGAAUCCUUCCUGGGACA